rnacentral:rRNA from 1 species
CCUACGGGAGGCUGCAGUCGAGAAUUUUUCACAAUGGGGGAAACCCUGAUGGAGCGACGCCGCGUGGAGGAUGAAGGCCCUCGGGUUGUAAACUCCUGUCAUGCGGGAACAAGAAAGUGAUAGUACCGCAAGAGGAAGAGACGGCUAACUCUGUGCCAGCAGCCGCGGUAAUACAGAGGUCUCAAGCGUUGUUCGGAUUCAUUGGGCGUAAAGGGUGCGUAGGUGGCGAUGUAAGUCUAACGUGAAAUCUCGGGGCUCAACCCCGAAAUUGCGUC